UGGCGACCGGCGCACGGGUGAGUAACACGUACCCAACCUCCCCUUUACUCGGGGAUACCUUUACGAAAGAAAGAUUAAUACCCGAUAGCAUAAUGAUUCCGCAUGGUUUCAUUAUUAAAGGAUUCCGGUAAAGGAUGGGGAUGCGUUCCAUUAGGUUGUUGGUGAGGUAACGGCUCACCAAGCCUUCGAUGGAUAGGGGUUCUGAGAGGAAGGUCCCCCACAUUGGAACUGAGACACGGUCCAA
rnacentral:rRNA from 1 species